AGCGAACGCUGGCGGCAGGCCUAACACAUGCAAGUCGAACGAACUCUUCGGAGUUAGUGGCGGACGGGUGAGUAACACGUGGGAACGUGCCUUUAGGUUCGGAAUAACUCAGGGAAACUUGUGCUAAUACCGAAUGUGCCCUUCGGGGAAAGAUUUAUCGCCUUUAGAGCGGCCCGCGUCUGAUUAGCUAGUUGGUAAGG
rnacentral:rRNA from 1 species